rnacentral:other from 1 species
GUUAUUGCUCCCGUCCUCAUUUCGCAGUGCUACAAU